rnacentral:rRNA from 1 species
CUACGGGAUGCUCCAGUGAGGAAUAUUGCACAAUGGGGGGAACCCUGAUGCAGCAACGCCGCGUGGAGGAUGGCGCAUUUCGGUGUGUAAACUCCUUUUAUAUGUCAAGAAAAUGACGGUAGCAUAUGAAUAAGCACCGGCUAACUCCGUGCCAGCAGCCGCGGUAAUACGGAGGGUGCAAGCGUUACUCGGAAUCACUGGGCGUAAAGGACGCGUAGGCGGGUUGGAAAGUCAGGUGUGAAAUCCUACAGCUUAACUGUAGAACUGCACUUGAAACUUCUAAUCUAGAGUAUGGGAGGGGGAGAUGGAAUUAGUGGUGUAGGGGUAAAAUCCGUAGAUAUCACUAGGAAUACCUAAAGCGAAGGCGAUCUCCUGGAACAUUACUGACGCUAAGGCGUGAAAGCGUGGGGAGCAAACAUGAUUAGAUACCCGCGUAGUC